GACGAACGCUGGCGGCGUGCUUAACACAUGCAAGUCGAACGGAAAGGCCCUGCUUUUGUGGGGUGCUCGAGUGGCGAACGGGUGAGUAACACGUGAGUAACCUGCCCUUGACUUUGGGAUAACUUCAGGAAACUGGGGCUAAUACCGGAUAGGAGCUCCUGCUGCAUGGUGGGGGUUGGAAAGUUUCGGCGGUUGGGGAUGGACUCGCGGCUUAUCAGCUUGUUGGGGGGGUAGUGGCUUACCAAGGCUUUGACGGGUAGCCGGCCUGAGAGGGUGACCGGCCACAUUGGGACUGAGGUACGGCCCAGACUCCUACGGGAGGCAGCAGUGGGGAAUAUUGCACAAUGGGCGGAAGCCUGAUGCAGCAACGCCGCGUGCGGGAUGACGGCCUUCGGGUUGUAAACCGCUUUCGCCUGUGACGAAGCGUGAGCGACGGUAAUGGGUAAAGAAGCACCGGCUAACUACGUG
rnacentral:rRNA from 1 species